GGGUUGUGAGGUUAAGCGACUAAGCGUACACGGUGGAUGCCCUGGCAGUCAGAGGCGAUGAAGGACGUGCUAAUCUGCGAUAAGCGUCGGUGAGGUGAUAUGAACCGUUAUAACCGGCGAUUUCCGAAUGGGGAAACCCAGUGUGUUUCGACACACUAUCAUUAACUGAAUCCAUAGGUUAAUGAGGCGAACCGGGGGAACUGAAACAUCUAAGUACCCCGAGGAAAAGAAAUCAACCGAGAUUCCCCCAGUAGCGGCGAGCGAACGGGGAGGAGCCCAGAGCCUGAAUCAGUGUGUGUGUUAGUGGAAGCGUCUGGAAAGGCGCGCGAUACAGGGUGACAGCCCCGUACACAAAAAUGCACAUACUGUGAGCUCGAUGAGUAGGGCGGGACACGUGGUAUCCUGUCUGAAUAUGGGGGGACCAUCCUCCAAGGCUAAAUACUCCUGACUGACCGAUAGUGAACCAGUACCGUGAGGGAAAGGCGAAAAGAACCCCGGCGAGGGGAGUGAAAAAGAACCUGAAACCGUGUACGUACAAGCAGUGGGAGCCUCUUAAUGGGGUGACUGCGUACCUUUUGUAUAAUGGGUCAGCGACUUAUAUUCUGUAGCAAGGUUAACCGAAUAGGGGAGCCGAAGGGAAACCGAGUCUUAACUGGGCGUUAAGUUGCAGGGUAUAGACCCGAAACCCGGUGAUCUAGCCAUGGGCAGGUUGAAGGUUGGGUAACACUAACUGGAGGACCGAACCGACUAAUGUUGAAAAAUUAGCGGAUGACUUGUGGCUGGGGGUGAAAGGCCAAUCAAACCGGGAGAUAGCUGGUUCUCCCCGAAAGCUAUUUAGGUAGCGCCUCGUGAAUUCAUCUCCGGGGGUAGAGCACUGUUUCGGCAAGGGGGUCAUCCCGACUUACCAACCCGAUGCAAACUGCGAAUACCGGAGAAUGUUAUCACGGGAGACACACGGCGGGUGCUAACGUCCGUCGUGAAGAGGGAAACAACCCAGACCGCCAGCUAAGGUCCCAAAGUCAUGGUUAAGUGGGAAACGAUGUGGGAAGGCCCAGACAGCCAGGAUGUUGGCUUAGAAGCAGCCAUCAUUUAAAGAAAGCGUAAUAGCUCACUGGUCGAGUCGGCCUGCGCGGAAGAUGUAACGGGGCUAAACCAUGCACCGAAGCUGCGGCAGCGACGCUUAUGCGUUGUUGGGUAGGGGAGCGUUCUGUAAGCCUGUGAAGGUGGCCUGUGAGGGUUGCUGGAGGUAUCAGAAGUGCGAAUGCUGACAUAAGUAACGAUAAAGCGGGUGAAAAGCCCGCUCGCCGGAAGACCAAGGGUUCCUGUCCAACGUUAAUCGGGGCAGGGUGAGUCGACCCCUAAGGCGAGGCCGAAAGGCGUAGUCGAUGGGAAACAGGUUAAUAUUCCUGUACUUGGUGUUACUGCGAAGGGGGGACGGAGAAGGCUAUGUUGGCCGGGCGACGGUUGUCCCGGUUUAAGCGUGUAGGCUGGUUUUCCAGGCAAAUCCGGAAAAUCAAGGCUGAGGCGUGAUGACGAGGCACUACGGUGCUGAAGCGACAAAUGCCCUGCUUCCAGGAAAAGCCUCUAAGCAUCAGGUAACAUUAAAUCGUACCCCAAACCGACACAGGUGGUCAGGUAGAGAAUACCAAGGCGCUUGAGAGAACUCGGGUGAAGGAACUAGGCAAAAUGGUGCCGUAACUUCGGGAGAAGGCACGCUGAUAUGUAGGUGAAGCGACUUGCUCGUGGAGCUGAAAUCAGUCGAAGAUACCAGCUGGCUGCAACUGUUUAUUAAAAACACAGCACUGUGCAAACACGAAAGUGGACGUAUACGGUGUGACGCCUGCCCGGUGCCGGAAGGUUAAUUGAUGGGGUUAGCGGUAACGCGAAGCUCUUGAUCGAAGCCCCGGUAAACGGCGGCCGUAACUAUAACGGUCCUAAGGUAGCGAAAUUCCUUGUCGGGUAAGUUCCGACCUGCACGAAUGGCGUAAUGAUGGCCAGGCUGUCUCCACCCGAGACUCAGUGAAAUUGAACUCGCUGUGAAGAUGCAGUGUACCCGCGGCAAGACGGAAAGACCCCGUGAACCUUUACUAUAGCUUGACACUGAACAUUGAGCCUUGAUGUGUAGGAUAGGUGGGAGGCUUUGAAGUGUGGACGCCAGUCUGCAUGGAGCCGACCUUGAAAUACCACCCUUUAAUGUUUGAUGUUCUAACGUGGGCCCCUUACCGGGGUUGCGGACAGUGUCUGGUGGGUAGUUUGACUGGGGCGGUCUCCUCCUAAAGAGUAACGGAGGAGCACGAAGGUUGGCUAAUCCUGGUCGGACAUCAGGAGGUUAGUGCAAUGGCAUAAGCCAGCUUGACUGCGAGCGUGACGGCGCGAGCAGGUGCGAAAGCAGGUCAUAGUGAUCCGGUGGUUCUGAAUGGAAGGGCCAUCGCUCAACGGAUAAAAGGUACUCCGGGGAUAACAGGCUGAUACCGCCCAAGAGUUCAUAUCGACGGCGGUGUUUGGCACCUCGAUGUCGGCUCAUCACAUCCUGGGGCUGAAGUAGGUCCCAAGGGUAUGGCUGUUCGCCAUUUAAAGUGGUACGCGAGCUGGGUUUAGAACGUCGUGAGACAGUUCGGUCCCUAUCUGCCGUGGGCGCUGGAGAACUGAGGGGGGCUGCUCCUAGUACGAGAGGACCGGAGUGGACGCAUCACUGGUGUUCGGGUUGUCAUGCCAAUGGCACUGCCCGGUAGCUAAAUGCGGAAGAGAUAAGUGCUGAAAGCAUCUAAGCACGAAACUUGCCCCGAGAUGAGUUCUCCCUGA
rnacentral:rRNA from 1 species